rnacentral:lncRNA from 1 species
GUGGCCAUACAUACAACAUCUUACCUUAACUUCACCUCACAUCUCAUCCAACAAAUAAAACCAGCUUCUAUAUAGUUUUAGAAUCUGCAAAAUUACCGUGAUCCAAUAUACAUAUGCCAAAGGAAGGGCAUAACCUAAAGAAUGUCCCCAAUCUCAAGUUUGCUCACAAGCAAUCAACAAAUAUGGAGUUUGAUGCUACCAACUUUUU